rnacentral:rRNA from 1 species
CCCUUAGAGUUUGAUCCUGGCUCAGGACGAACGCUGGCGGCGUGCCUAAUGCAUGCAAGUCGAGGGAGAUCCAUCCAAACCGUAAGGGGCGGGUGGGGAAACCGGCGAACGGGUGCGUAACACGUGAGGAACCUACCCUGGAGAUCGGGAUAGCCCGGGGAAACCCGGAUUAAUACCGAAUGUUCUCAUCAGACCGCAUGGUCCGAUGAGGAAACAGUCCGCUGCUCCAGGAUGGCCUCGCGGCCUAUCAGCUUGUUGGUGAGGUAACGGCUCACCAAGGCUUCGACGGGUAGCUGGUCUGAGAGGACGAUCAGCCACACUGGGACUGAGACACGGCCCAGACUCCUACGGGAGGCAGCAGCAGGGAAUAUUGCACAAUGGGCGCAAGCCUGAUGCAGCGACGCCGCGUGCGGGAUGAAGGCCUUCGGGUUGUAAACCGCUUUCAGGAGGGAAGAAAAUGACGGUACCUCCAGAAGAAGGCCCGGCCAACUACGUGCCAGCAGCCGCGGUAACACGUAGGGGGCAAGCGUUGUCCGGAUUUAUUGGGCGUAAAGAGCUCGUAGGCGGUUUCGUAAGUCGGGUGUGAAAACUCUAGGCUCAACCUAGAGACGCCACCCGAUACUGCGAUGACUAGAGUCCGGUAAGGGGAGU